CGUCAAAUCAUCAUGCCCCUUACGUCUAGGGCUACAGGCGUGCUACAAUGGCCGAUACAACGAGUCGCUACACGGUAACGUGAUGCUAAUCUCUUAAAGUCGGUCCCAGUCCGGAUUGAGGUCUGCAACUCGACCUCAUGAAGUUGGAAUCGCUAGUAAUCCCGAAUCAGAAUGUCGGGGUGAAUACGUUCCCGGGUGUU
rnacentral:rRNA from 1 species